CCCCAGUCCCUCUCAGAUCCAGCCACCCACCAUCGCCGGUGUUGGCCCACCGCGGGAUACGACCACCGCACAGCCGCCACGCCGCCCCCACCCUGAGAACCGGCUGCCGCUUCCCUCCUCGGAUCGCACCGCUGCCCCCAUCACCCUCCAUGGAUCAUGUCGCCGUCGCUUCCCUCCCCGGAUCCCGCCUCCAACUGCGCCUCUGCCGGCCCCUGCAACCAACCGCGCCACAGCCAGGCCCGCCUCCAACCACGCCGUCGUCGAGGCCCGACCUCCAACCGCGCCGCCACCGAGGCCCGACCUCCAAUCGUGCUGCCGCCCCCCACAGCCCACAAUCGGCGUCGCCGACCCCGCCCUGCCACAACAGGCAAACCCUCUGCCCCAACCACUGGUGCCUGCCCGGAUACAUUGCCACCAUGCGUCGGCAAACUCCCUGCCAACCACCGGCACCUGCCCAGAUCCGUCGCCGCCACUCGCCGGCCACACGCCCUCUGCCUCGCCCCAACUUCCCCUAUGGCGCGAGCUUUCCUCUGCUCCAACGCGAAUUUCCCUCCCGUCCGUCGCGACCUUCCUUCUACGCCGCUGCGACCUUCCCUUCCCUCCGGCUUGCCCUCCUACUCCUCCGCAGCCCCAUCCCCACCCUUCCUGCCCCGAACAACUUCCUGGUGCCUACUCAUUGCAUCUUCCUCCAUGCUAUUGCUGCUCUCUUCCUCCAUGUUGCUGUUUGUGUAUAUGGCUAAAACAAAAACGUGUUUUUUUAGAUUUUACCUUGGCUGGGUGCAUCCUCUCUCUUUGGUUACAGGAGAAGUUCAUGUUGUCAGAAAAUUGAAGUCCAUGUAUAUGGAAGUUGAUGGUUGUUGUGUGUAUGCAGGGGAGCACAAAAAACUUGUGGCUGACAAAUUUUCCUGUUGUGUAGCCGCAACAAUCUUUCUUGACCUCUUUUAUAAUCUUUUACUACCUUGUUAUAUCUUGUAGAUUGGCGAUUGAGGGUGUUUUCCUUGAGAGUGGAACCUCAGAGGAAUUCUCUCUUAUUCCACAGCUCGCAAGAUCACGGCCCAUUUUCAACAAAGCUAAGCUCAAGAGUGCGACUGCGGUCGAAGAUGCAUUAGAGAUUGCGAGAAGCUCUCUCUAGUCUGGCUCCUCUAGUUGUCAACACAUACGACCUCUUCAGUUUGGGAAUGUAGAUUCUUUUGAAAAGUCAAGACUACGAUGACAAAAAGUGCAGCCAUAGUAUCCAUUCUAUGUUUGUAAUUUUCUUAGAUGCCCCUCGGCUAUCGACCCAUAAACUUUGGUACUUGUGGCAUAUUAUUGGUUAUAACUACAUAUGCUCUGCUUGUUUCUUCCCAGCAUCUCCUUGGCUGUUGUAAUGUUGCCCGUUAUGGUUGAAAAAUGUACGCGGCCUAAUGUUUGUUAUGUGUUUAAAAGAUAAUGCAAAUCUAGGUGGAGGUGUUCCUCACA